rnacentral:tRNA from 1 species
GCGGAUAUGGCGGAAUGGCAGACGCAGCAGACUCAAAAUCUGCCGAGCUUAACACUCGUGAGGGUUCAAGUCCCUCUAUCCGCA